rnacentral:lncRNA from 1 species
GUCACGACAACGGACACCACUCUACUCUCCGUAACAAACUCCACGUGGUCCUGAACGGCCCCUAACGCCACUAUUCUUCGUAACAAACUCUGCGUGGCUCUGAACGGCCCACUACCAGACGGUUACAAAUGUCGCUGUCAAUCAGUUAUGCUCUCUGUCUAUAAAAAGGAACCUCCAGAUACGUUGUUCUCUAAGCUCUAAACUCUAUCUCAAAAUUCUGCUAAAAUUUCCACUC